rnacentral:lncRNA from 1 species
AGAGAAACCCUAUUAUCUUGAAAAACAAUAACAAAAACCCCAAACAAAACAAAGAUUAAAUAAAUACAGCUUCCCUAGUUAAGUCCAUUUGUGUAUACCAUUCCCCCAACACACACAAAGACGUUUAUCACCUAAGGCUCUAGAACCUUUUGCCUCUGCAGACAAGAAAUUCCAGGACAAGCUCUUUGUAUUCAUUCCUCAUCCUGCUUGAGAGCUACAGCCCCUUCUAAGCUGUACGCCUGGCUUUUAAAUGGAAUAGAUGGAGCAGAGUUCCCCGGUUUCUCAGCUCCAGCAGUUGCACGGUUUUUAAUGUCUCCACUGACUGUAAUUCUCACAUAACUGAUGGCCUGUCAGGGCCUGUACCGUCACAAGUCAAUAACAACUGUCCAAAUGCCUUCUGCUGGAUCGUUGUGGUUGAGGAGCUGGGAGCUGUCUGCAGAGGUGGACACGCUGCAGCUCAGAAUCAACCCCCGAGCUUCACCCACCCUCGUUUACUGCUGAGCUUUUCUCUUUGGAGCAAAUGACUUUCCGUCCUGCAGGGGAGGAGUGGAGGCCUGGAGCUGGAUGUGGGGGGAGGAAGGGAGAGGGGCAGCUGAGGUAAACCCAUCAGCUGGCUGAGUCCUCCUCUCCAUCCUCCCCCAGCCCUCCCCAGCCUCCUGGAUAAGCAGCUGUGCUUAUCAACUCUGGUUCUCUCUGUCAGUGCUGCCACCUGAGUCCUAGCCCAUCUCUCUCUCUCUCUCUCUCUCUCUCUCUCUCUCUCUCUCUCUCUCUCUCUCUCUCUCUCUNACACACACACACACACACACACACACGCACGCACGCACAGUCCUUAUUGGGAAUAAAUGAAAUAAAUUCUUUGAAAAACUACCUAAACUGUAAUGUUACUAAAAUGUAAUUCUAUGGCUGCUGACAGUUCUUUCUUUCUUUCUAAACCAAGACAAGGGUCUGAUGUAGCUCAGGCUGGCCUCCAACUUGAAGAUGCCCUCAUAUUUCUGAUCCUCCUGCUUAUACCUCCUGUUGCUGGGAUUAUAGAUGUGCACCGCAUACCUGAACCCCCGUCUUCAA